GCGAACGCUGGCGGCAGGCCUAACACCUGCAAGUCGAACGAACCUUUCGGGGUUAGUGGCGGACGGGUGAGUAACACGUGGGAACGUGCCGUUAGGUUCGGAAUAACUCAGGGAAACUUGUGCUAAUACCGAAUGUGCCCUUCGGGGGAAAGAUUUAUCGCCUUUAGAGCGGCCCGCGUCUGAUUAGCUAGUUGGUUGAGGUAAUGGCUCACCAAGGCGACGAUCAGUAGCUGGUCUGAGAGGAUGAUCAGCCACAUUGGGACUGAGACACGGCCCAAACUCCUACGGGAGGCAGCAGUGGGGAAUCUUGCGCAAUGGGCGAAAGCCUGACGCAGCCAUGCCGCGUGAAUGAUGAAGGUCUUAGGAUUGUAAAAUUCUUUCACCGGGGACGAUAAUGACGGUACCCGGAGAAGAAGCCCCGGCUAACUUCGUG
rnacentral:rRNA from 1 species